rnacentral:rRNA from 1 species
UGGGGAAUUUUGGACAAUGGGCGAAAGCCUGAUCCAGCAAUGCCGCGUGUGUGAAGAAGGCCUUCGGGUUGUAAAGCACUUUUGUCCGGAAAGAAAUCCUUGGCUCUAAUACAGUCGGGGGAUGACGGUACCGGAAGAAUAAGCACCGGCUAACUACGUGCCAGCAGCCGCGGUAAUACGUAGGGUGCAAGCGUUAAUCGGAAUUACUGGGCGUAAAGCGUGCGCAGGCGGUUUGCUAAGACCGAUGUGAAAUCCCCGGGCUCAACCUGGGAACUGCAUUGGUGACUGGCAGGCUAGAGUAUGGCAGAGGGGGGUAGAAUUCCACGUGUAGCAGUGAAAUGCGUAGAGAUGUGGAGGAAUACCGAUGGCGAAGGCAGCCCCCUGGCAAGUACUGACGCUCAUGCACGAAAGCGUGGGGAGCAAACAGGAUUAGAUACCCUGGUAGUCCACGCCCUAAAACGAUGUCAACUAGUUGUUGGGGAUUCAUUUCCUUAGUAACGUAGCUAACGCGUGAAGUUGACCGCCUGGGGAGUACGGUCGCAAGAUUAAAACUUAAAUGAAUUGACGGGGUCAUAGCUGUUUCCU